rnacentral:rRNA from 1 species
UACGGGAGGCAGCAGUGGGGAAUAUUGCACAAUGGGCGAAAGCCUGAUGCAGCUAUGCCGCGUGUAUGAAGAAGGCCUUAGGGUUGUAAAGUACUUUCAUCGGGGAGGAAAAAACAAAACUAAUAAUUUUAUUUCUUGACGUUACCCGAAAAAGAAGCACCGGCUAACUCCGUGCCAGCAGCCGCGGUAAUACGGAGGGUGCUAGCGUUAAUCAGAAUUACUGGGCGUAAAGAGCACGUAGGUGGUUUUUUUAAAGUCAGAUGUGAAAUCCCUGGGCUUAACCUAGGAACUGCAUUUUGAAACUGAAAUACUAGAGUAUCGUAGAGGGAGGUAGAAUUCUAGGUGUAGCGGUGAAAUGCGUAGAUAUCUGGAGGAAUACCUGUGGCGAAAGCGGCCUCCUAAACGAAUACUGACACUGAGGUGCGAAAGCGUGGGGAGCAAACAGGAUUAGAGUACC